GUGGGGAAUAUUGGACAAUGGGCGAAAGCCUGAUCCAGCCACGCCGCGUGGGUGAAGAAAUCCCUCGGGAUGUAAAGCCCUGUUGUAUGGGAAGAGCAGAAGACGGUACCAUACGAGGAAGCCCCGGCAAACUACGUGCCAGCAGCCGCGGUAAUACGUAGGGGGCAAGCGUUGUCCGGAAUUACUGGGCGUAAAGCGCACGCAGGCUGAAUUAUAAGUCGGUAGUCAAAUACGGAGGCUCAACUUCCGGAUAUCUAUCGAUACUGUAAAUCUAGAGUAUGUGAGAGGGAAGCGGAAUUCCCGGUGUAGCGGUGAAAUGCGUAGAUAUCGGGAUGAACACCAGUGGCGAAGGCGGCUUCCUGGCACAAUACUGACGCUCAUGUGCGAAAGCUAGGGCAGCGAACGGGAUUAGAUACCCUAGUAGUCC
rnacentral:rRNA from 1 species